rnacentral:rRNA from 1 species
UGGGGAAUAUUGGACAAUGGGCGAAAGCCUGAUCCAGCCAUGCCGCGUGUGUGAAGAAGGUAUUCGGAUUGUAAAGCACUUUAAGUUGGGAGGAAGGGCAGUAAGCGAAUACCUUGCUGUUUUGACGUUACCGACAGAAUAAGCACCGGCUAACUCUGUGCCAGCAGCCGCGGUAAUACAGAGGGUGCAAGCGUUAAUCGGAAUUACUGGGCGUAAAGCGCGCGUAGGUGGUUCGUUAAGUUGAAUGUGAAAGCCCCGGGCUCAACCUGGGAACUGCAUCCAAAACUGGCGAGCUAGAGUAGGGCAGAGGGUGGUGGAAUUUCCUGUGUAGCGGUGAAAUGCGUAGAUAUAGGAAGGAACACCAGUGGCGAAGGCGACCACCUGGGCUCAUACUGACACUGAGGUGCGAAAGCGUGGGGAGCAAACAGG